GGAGGGUGCAAGCGUUGUUCGGAAUUAUUGGGCGUAAAGAGCGUGUAGGCGGUCCGGUAAGUCAGAUGUGAAAGCCCUGGGCUCAACCCAGGAAGUGCAUUUGUAACUACCAGACUUGAGUACGGGAGAGGAGGGGGGAAUUCCCGGUGUAGAGGUGAAAUUCGUAGAUAUCGGGAGGAAUACCAGUGGCGAAGGCGCCCCUCUGGACCGAUACUGACGCUGAGACGCGAAAGCGUGGGGAGCAAACAGGAUUAGAUACCCUGGGUAGUCCACGCCGUAAACGAUGAGCACUAGGUGUAGCGGGUAUUGACCCCCCUGCUGUGCCGUAGCUAACGCAUUAAGUGCUCCGCCUGGGGGACUACGGUCGCAAGACUA
rnacentral:rRNA from 1 species